AGGACGAAGUCAGGGGAAACCCUGAUGGAGGUCCGUAGCGAUUCUGACGUGCAAAUCGAUCGUAAGAACUGGGUAUAGGGGCGAAAGACUAAUCGAACCAUCUAGUAGCUGGUUCCCUCCGAAGUUUCCCUCAGGAUAGCUGGCGCUCGUCGCGCGCGAGUCUCAUCCGGUAAAGCGAAUGAUUAGAGGCAUUGGGGUCGAAACGGCCUCAACCUAUUCUCAAACUUUAAAUGGGUGAGAUCUCCGGCUUGCUUGAACAACUCAAGGUGAAGCCGCGAGAUCGGAUCAGAGUGCCAAGUGGGCCACUUUUGGUAAGCAGAACUGGCGCUGUGGGAUGAACCAAACGCGGAGUUAAAGCGCCUAAAUCGACGCUUAUGGGAUACCAUGAAAGGCGUUGGUAACUUAAGACAGCAGGACGGUGGCCAUGGAA
rnacentral:rRNA from 1 species